rnacentral:rRNA from 1 species
CAGUAGCCGCGGUAAUACGUAGGGGGCAAGCGUUGUCCGGAAUCAUUGGGCGUAAAGCGCGUGUAGGCGGCUCGAUAAGUCUGCUGUGAAAGUCCAGGGCUCAACCCUGGGAUGCCGGUGGAUACUGUCGAGCUCGAGUCCGGAAGAGGCGAGUGGAAUUCCUGGUGUAGCGGUGAAAUGCGCAGAUAUCAGGAGGAACACCAAUGGCGAAGGCAGCUCGCUGGGACGUGACUGACGCUGAGACGCGAAAGCGUGGGGAGCAAACAGGAUUAGAUACCCCAGUAGUCCCUGUCUCUUAUAC